rnacentral:rRNA from 1 species
UACGGAGGGGGCUAGCGUUGUUCGGAAUUACUGGGCGUAAAGCGCACGUAGGCGGCUUUGUAAGUUAGAGGUGAAAGCCCAGAGCUCAACUCUGGAACUGCCUUUAAGACUGCAUCGCUUGAAUCAUGGAGAGGGUAGUGGAAUUCCCAGUGUAGCGGUGAAAUGCGUAGAUACUGGGAGGAACACCGGUGGCGAAGGCGGCUACCUGGACAGGUACUGACGCUGAGGCGCGAAAGCGUGGGGAGCAAACAGG